AUUGAACGCUGGCGGCAGGCCUAACACAUGCAAGUCGAGCGGAUGAAGGGAGCUUGCUCCUGGAUUCAGCGGCGGACGGGUGAGUAAUGCCUAGGAAUCUGCCUGGUAGUGGGGGAUAACGUCCGGAAACGGGCGCUAAUACCGCAUACGUCCUGAGGGAGAAAGUGGGGGAUCUUCGGACCUCACGCUAUCAGAUGAGCCUAGGUCGGAUUAGCUAGUUGGUGGGGUAAAGGCCUACCAAGGCGACGAUCCGUAACUGGUCUGAGAGGAUGAUCAGUCAAACGGGAACUGAAAAACGGGCCAAACCCCUACGGGGGGCAGCGGUGGGGAAAAUUGGAAAAUGGGCGAAAGCCUGAUCCAGCCAUGCCGGGUGUGUGAAGAAGGUCUUGGGAUUGUAAAGCACUUUAAGUUGGGGGGAAGGGCAGUAAGUUAAUACCUUGCUUUUUUGACGUUACCAACAGAAUAAGCACCGGCUAACUUCGU
rnacentral:rRNA from 1 species